UACGUAGGGGGCGAGCGUUGUCCGGAUUUACUGGGCGUAAAGCGCGUGUAGGCGGCCCGUUAAGUGGGGUGUGAAAGCCCGGGGCUCAACCCCGGGACGCCGCUUCAAACUGGCGGGCUUGAGGACGGAAGAGGGGAGUGGAAUUCCAGGUGUAGCGGUGAAAUGCGUAGAUAUCUGGAGGAACACCGGUGGCGAAGGCGGCAUCCUGGACCGGCAUUGACGCUGAGGCGCGAAAGCCAGGGGAGCAAACGGG
rnacentral:rRNA from 1 species